GCUAAGAAUCUUGCGCAAUGGGCGAAAGCCUGACGCAGCAAUUCCGCGUGGGGGACGAAGGCCCUCGGGUCGUAAACCCCUUUUGCGAGGGAAGAAGUUCUGACGGUACCUCGCGAAUAAGCCACGGCUAACUACGUGCCAGCAGCCGCGGUAAUACGUAGGUGGCGAGCGUUGUCCGGAUUUAUUGGGCGUAAAGAGCCCGCAGGCGGUCUGUUAAGUUUCAGGUGAAAUCUCCCGGCUCAACCGGGAGGGGUCCUGGAAAACUGGCAGACUUGAGGCAGGGAGAGGGAUGUGGAAUUCCCGGUGUAGUGGUGAAAUGCGUAGAUAUCGGGAGGAACACCAGUGGCGAAGGCGGCAUCCUGGCCCUGUCCUGACGCUCAGGGGCGAAAGCGUGGGGAGCAAACCGGAUUAGAUACCCCGGUAGUCC
rnacentral:rRNA from 1 species